rnacentral:tRNA from 1 species
GUUAGAGUGGCAGAUUAGUGCGUUGGAUUUAAGCUUCAAUUAUAGAAGUGUUAUUCUCUUUAACA